AACGAACGCUGGCGGCAGGCCUAAUACAUGCAAGUCGAACGCCCGUAGCAAUACGGGAGUGGCAGACGGGUGAGUAACGCGUGGGAAUCUACCCAGUGGUACGGAAUAACCCAGGGAAACUUGGGCUAAUACCGUAUGAGCCCUUCGGGGGAAAGAUUUAUCGCCAUUGGAUGAGCCCGCGUCGGAUUAGCUUGUUGGUGAGGUAACGGCUCACCAAGGCUACGAUCCGUAGCUGGUCUGAGAGGAUGAUCAGCCACACUGGGACUGAGACACGGCCCAGACUCCUACGGGAGGCUG
rnacentral:rRNA from 1 species